rnacentral:lncRNA from 1 species
GUGCGCAACAAGUGAAGCCGGGACAGAUAAGUUGCAGGUGAGUGACACAAAAAUUAAUGGGCACAAAUCCUCACCAUAGGCCAUGUAGCCGAAUGCUAUGCAGCCAUCAAGAGAUGGAAGGCCUUGAAAGUUGUUUGAUAGCCAUCCAUUUUCUAAUGGUGGCUACCGAGAACUUUACAAUACUCUACGAUAUAACCUGUACAUUGCAUAGGAUCUUGGUUGAACAAGAUUAGCAUUGCCAGACCAUUCAGGGG